CUAAGGCUCCGGAGGAAGCCACGGCUAACUCUGUGCCAGCAGCCGCGGUAAUACAGAGGCGGCAAGCGUUGUUCGGAAUUAUUGGGCGUAAAGAGCACGUAGGCGGCUUUGUAAGUCGGUGGUGAAAGCCUUCCGCUUAACGGGUGAACGGCAGCCGAUACUGCAUAGCUUGAGUGCGGGAGGGGAGAGUGGAACUUCUGGUGGAGCGGUGAAAUGCGUAGAUAUCAGAAGGAACGCCGGCGGCGAAAGCGGCUCUCUGGCCCGUAACUGACGCUGAGUGUGCGAAAGCUAGGGGAGCAAACGGGAUUAGAUACCCCGGUAGUCCUAGCCGUAAA
rnacentral:rRNA from 1 species